ensembl:snRNA U6 U6 spliceosomal RNA
GUGCUUGCAUAACCAGUAUAUAUACUAAAAUUGGAACAGUACAGAGAAGAUUAACAUGGCCCCUCUGCAAGGGUGAUACACAAAUUCAUGAAGUGUUCCAUAUUAAA